rnacentral:rRNA from 1 species
UACAGAGGUCUCAAGCGUUGUUCGGAUUCAUUGGGCGUAAAGGGUGCGUAGGCGGCGCGGUAAGUCGGGUGUGAAAUCUCGGAGCUUAACUCCGAAACUGCAUUCGAUACUGCCGUGCUUGAGGACUGGAGAGGAGACUGGAAUUUACGGUGUAGCGGUGAAAUGCGCAGAUAUCAGGAGGAACACCGGUGGCGAAGGCGCUGCUCUGGGCCGGUACUGACGCUGAGGAGCGAAAGCGUGGGUAGCAAACAGG